GACAGCCCCAGCCCCACACACAUGGCCUGGGGAUGAGAAAUGCAGGACUCAGACUCAUUCUGAGGCAGAAUCUGCAUUUUACAAGAUCCUUAGGAGAUUCAGAGACACGCUGCAGUGUGAGUAGUGAUUUGGGAGAAAACCACUCAAUGUGCUCCUUGGCUCGAAUUGAUUUACUCAUCUCUAGGUUCAUAAGGGAUCCCCAAGGACACGACAGCCUAAGGAGGCUGGUGAGUCCCCACCUGGGAUUAGGAGUCCCCCACAUUGGCUUUGUGUGUCGUCAGAAUUUCCAUUGCAAGUCACAGUCUCUUAUGCAAAACCUUUGCAGCCAAAUGUGUUUUAGAGCUUUUCAUAUUUUAGGAAGGUAAUAUGCAUUUGUCAUCCAUUGAACAACUCUCCCAAUGUGAUCUGGGACAAUAUUCUGCAGUUUUUCAUGAACAUUGACACCAAAAAUAAUAAAAACAAGAUCAGAUCAAGUUUGGACACAAAAUUUAAUGGGAAAAAUUUUUUCAGAGCUUGAGAUUUUAAAAUUGAGACUAAGGAUUAUGGGCUGCUUUGUUUUGUUAUUUUAUUUUACUUUUAGACUGCGUCACUUGAAUAAAGAUAGAAACACUGACAUGAUGCUACUUCCCAGCCUAAGACUUUGCAGGAAUUACAUGAUCUGGAUUUUUUUUUUUUUUUCAGUACUGGGAUUGAACCCAAGACCUUAUACAGGCUAGGCAAUUGCUCCACCACUGAGCUCAUCCCCAGUCCUUUUUUAAAAAUUUUGAGACAGGGUCUUGCUAAAUUGCCCAAGUUGGCCUCAAACUUGAUAUCCUCCUGCCUCAGCCUCACAAGAACUAGAUAUUCCUUCACAUACUUCAUCUUUUUAAAAAAUAUUUAGUUAGUUAGUUAGUUUUAGGUGGACACAAUAUCUUUAUUUUAUUUUUAUGUGGUGCUGAGGAUUGAACCCAGUGCCUCAUGCAUGCUAGGUAAGUGCUCUACCACAGAGCCACAACCCCAGCCCCAUGCAACAUCUUUUUAAUCAUGUCACAGCUCAGGUGGUGUGAAUAUUCCCAGCUUAACUCAAGGGACUCUGUGAGGAGCAGUUGGAUUUUGGUGAAAUUAAGCCAUUUCACCCCCAUAGACACUAAAUGUCAGAGCUGAGGCUGGAAGCUUGAUGGUCCAGUGCUGUUCUUCCCCGUGUUCCCGAGGACAGGCCUCUGGCUUUUCGAGUCUUUGUGUCCUGUGUGCAGAGGGCAGGCUCCAGCUGCAGCCAAAGGACAAAAUACCUUCUGCAUUCGGUGGCUGGUAUGUUUAGAAACACAGGACUGCGACUCAGAGUUCUUCACCAGCUGGUCUGAGCAUAAAGCAUUUGGUCUUUCAACCUCUCAAACUGCCCGUGCAGGAGGUCCUUGGUGUGAGAUGGCCCAGGCGUGCAGGCCAGUCCUCCCAUAUAUUCUGAAGCAUUCUCUGCAUGAGUCCUGCCACGAAGACAUUGGCAGAAUUAAUUGAGGACUCUCUGUACAAGGAAGGUCUCAAGGACCUCCUCCAAAUGGCAGGCGAGAAGCCUGUCAGGCCGGGCUCCAUCUCUGCUCUUGAAAUGCUUAGAUGGCAACACUGGCAAAGGGACCUGGUAUGGUGACAAUGUUGAAAAGUGAUGGGGCAUUUUUUUUUUUUUUAAAGUACAAGAGUUUGAACUCGGGGCUUCACGUGUGCUGGGCAGGUGGUCUACUACUGGACUACAUCCUGGGCCUUUUAAAAUUAAUUAAUUAAUUAACUAACUAACUUAUUUGCAGUACUGAGAGUUGAGCCCAGGGGUGCUACAGCACUGAGUCACAUUCUCAGCCCUUUUGUUUCUUAUUUUGAGACAGAGUCUUGCUCAGUUGCCCAGGCUGGCCUUGAACUUGUGAUCUUCCUGCUUCAGCCUCCCAAAUAGAUAAGAUUACAGACAUAUGUUACUGUGCCCGGUUUGUGGGGCCUUUUAAAGAGGUGAUUAGGUCGCUAAGAGGGAUUGCUGCUUUUCUCACAGGAGGAGGAUCAUUCUUGCAAUGGUGGGUUGAUAUCAAACAAGCUCAGGCCCUCUCACUGGUUUCUCCACACAUGCCCGUUUGCUCAUCUGCUCUCUGCAAUGAGUUGAAGCAGCCAAAGCCCUUACCAGAGCUGGACAGAAGCCUCCAGAACUGUGAGCUAAAUAAACUUUCCUUUAUAAAUUAUCCAGUCUCAAGUAUUCUGUUAUAGCGACCUCCACCUAGAUUUUAAAGGAUGCUGCAAAUAGCCUGAGGGGGGGUGGGCAGGCCAAGGUCAGCCACGGGGUGGGGCCACUGCAGAUUCCCCACUGCAGCAAUCCUUGGGGAAGCCAACGGAAGGAGACCACCCC
rnacentral:lncRNA from 1 species